rnacentral:lncRNA from 1 species
CGGGGGCUCAUUUCUUCAGGACGGUUGGUCACAUGCAAAGCUGCUGGGGAAGCAGGCUCCUCUGGUUCCUCUGGUUCCUCUGGUCUCGGUACUCCCCCCUGGGUGCUCCCCCAGAGCCCUGCUGGCCCCUCCACUGGGAGCAAAGCGAACGAUACGCACACCAGCAAGCUGGAGGGUGAGAAAGCAGAAAUGAAGUUGUUCCCCCCCCCCCGCCCCGCCCGAAUUACUAUGGAACAAUGUGCAGCUCUAUUGUACUUUAACAAGUCAUCCCGUUGCCAUGGUAACCCGGAAGAGGCCUUUGAAGUUCCUCUGGAUGGACAGAGGGAUGCGGGGCGCGGGCCCUGCGGCUCCCGGGCUGGCCGCCAGAGGGCGCGCUCGGGGCGGGGAAGCGCAGCAGGUGUCAGGAGCAGAGAAGAGCUUCCUUCCGCUGCCAGAGAUGGAGGACUCACUACAUCAUACCUGAAGGGCUGAUUUAUGGAAGCGAAGCAGCCCACAUUUGAACACAUUUUUGAUCAGAGCUGGAGGAAUGUGGGCAGAGGAGGCAUCGGAGGGACAGAGGGCUCAGUGCCUGCUUUUAAGCCCUGCCUGCGGCAUGAUUUUCAAAGACCUGUAGAGGGUCAUUCACUAGGAAGGGCUCUCUGAAGCCAUCUGUACCUGCGCCACCUCCUUCCUCAGAGUCUUGAGGCAGCAGGAACCUGUCCUCCCCAAAGGGGCCUUUGCACGGACCAGCCUGCAUGGCCAGUCAGGCCACCAGGGGCCGGUGACUCAGAGGCUGCCUCUAACUGCUCAGGGCUCCAUCCAUACUUUUGCACCCGUGUGCAAAGACAGGGUAUAGCCUGGAGNAGCCCCCCCCUAAAAAAAAAAAAAAAAAAAAAAAAAAAUCAGGAAAG